UACAGAGGGUGCGAGCGUUAAUCGGAAUUACUGGGCGUAAAGCGUGCGUAGACGGUAGCGUAAGUCAGAUGUGAAAGCCCCGGGCUCAACCUGGGAAUUGCAUUUGAGACUGCUCUGCUCGGGUGCGGAAGAGGGAAGCGCAAUUUCCGGUGUAGCGGUGAAAUGCGUAGAUAUCGGAAAGAACACCAACGGCGAAAGCACUCUGCUGGGCCGACACUGACACUGAGAGACGAAAGCUAGGGGAGCGAAUGGG
rnacentral:rRNA from 1 species